UACGUAGGGGGCUAGCGUUGGCCGGAAUCAUUGGGCGUAAAGAGCGUGUAGGCGGCUCGAUAAGUCCGCUGUGAAAGUCCAGGGCUCAACCCUGGGAUGCCGGUGGAUACUGUCGGGCUCGAGUCCGGAAGAGGCGAGUGGAAUUCCUGGUGUAGCGGUGAAAUGCGCAGAUAUCGGGAGGAACACCAGUAGCGAAGGCGGCACUCUGGGCCGGUACUGACGCUGAGGAGCGAAAGCGUGGGGAGCGAACAGG
rnacentral:rRNA from 1 species